rnacentral:rRNA from 1 species
GACAGAGGGGGCAAGCGUUGCUCGGAAUCACUGGGCGUAAAGGGCGCGUAGGCGGGAUGGCAAGUCAGUCGUGAAAUCUCCCGGCUCAACCGAGAAACGUCGGCUGAUACUGCCGUUCUUGAGGGAUGCAGAGGAGACUGGAAUUCCCGGUGUAGCGGUGAAAUGUGUAGAGAUCGGGAGGAACACCGGUGGCGAAGGCGGGUCUCUGGGCAUUUCCUGACGCCGAGGCGCGAAAGCGUGGGGAGCAAACGGG